GAACACGGCCAUAGUAACAGGGAAAUACCUGUUCCCAUUCCGAACACAGAAGUCAAGCCUGCUACGUCCGUUGCGUUAGUCUCCGUCAAGAGGCGAAACACGGAUGCCGUCUUCU
rnacentral:rRNA from 1 species